rnacentral:rRNA from 1 species
UACGUAGGGACCGAGCGUUGUCCGGAAUCAUUGGGCGUAAAGAGCGUGUAGGCGGCUUGUUAAGUCUUGCGUGAAAUCUCGGGGCUCAACCCCGAGCGGUCGUGAGAAACUGGCAGGCUAGAGUGCGGGAGAGGAGAGUGGAAUUCCUGGUGUAGCGGUGAAAUGCGCAGAUAUCAGGAAGAACACCCGUGGCGAAGGCGGCUCUCUGGGCCACUACUGACGCUGAGAAGCGAAAGCAUGGGGAGCGAACAGG